UGAGGAAUAUUGGUCAAUGGGCGAGAGCCUGAACCAGCCAUGUCGCGUGAAGGAAGAAUGUCCUAUGGAUUGUAAACUUCUUUUAUACAGGAAUAAAGUGUACUACGUGUAGUAUUUUGUAUGUACUGUAUGAAUAAGGAUCGGCUAACUCCGUGCCAGCAGCCGCGGUAAUACGGAGGAUCCGAGCGUUAUCCGGAUUUAUUGGGUUUAAAGGGUGCGUAGGCGGAAUAGCAAGUCAGUGGUGAAAGUUUGCAGCUUAACUGUAAAAUUGCCAUUGAAACUGCUGUUCUUGAGUACAGUAGAGGUAGGCGGAAUGUGUAGUGUAGCGGUGAAAUGCAUAGAUAUUACACAGAACACCGAUUGCGUAGGCAGCUUACUGGAGUGUAACUGACGCUGAGGC
rnacentral:rRNA from 1 species